rnacentral:rRNA from 1 species
CGGAGAAGGCGUCUGAGAAACGGCUACCACUUCUAAGGAAGGCAGCAGGCGCGCAAAUUACCCAAUCCUGACUCAGGGAGGUAGUGACAAGAAAUAACAAUAAACCGGCUUAUGCCGGUUUAAUUGGAAUGAGUACAAUUUAAACAUCUUAGCGAGGAACAAUUGGAGGGCAAGUCUGGUGCCAGCAGCCGCGGUAAUUCCAGCUCCAAUAGCGUAUACUAAAGUUGUUGCAGUUAAAAAGCUCGUAGUUGGAUUUCUGCGGGGACGGAGCGGCCGGACGCAACUUGCGUCUCGAGCUAGCGCUUUCCCCACAUCCUGCCGCGAACCGUGCUACCAUUAGUUUGGUGGCGCUGGGGAUCGGCUCGAUUACUUUGGGAAAAAUAGAGUGUUCAAAGCAGGCCACACGCCUUGAAUAAGUUAGCAUGGAAUAAUGACUAAGGACUUUGGUUCUUUUCGUUGGUGUUCGGGACUGAAGUAAUGAUUGAUAGGGACAGUUGGGGCGGUCCGUAUUCCAAAGCGAGAGGUGAAAUUCUUAGACCUUCGGAAGACGAACAGCUGCGAAAGCGUUCCGCAAGGAUGUUCCCUUUGAUCAAGAACGAAAGUUGGGGGAUCGAAGACGAUCAGAUACCGUCGUAGUCUCAACUAUAAACUAUACCAGCUAGGGAUCGGCCAACGUUUAAUUAUUCGGCUUGGUCGGCACCUUAUGAGAAAUCAAAGCAUCUGGGUUCCGGGGGAGUAUGGUCGCAAGGCUGAAACUUAAAGGAAUUGACGGAAGGGCACCACCAGGCGUGGAGCCUGUGGCUUAAUUUGACUCAACACGGGAAAACUUACCAGGUCCAGACAUAGGAAGGAUUGACAGAUUGAUAGCUCUUUCUUGAUCCUGUGGGUGGUGGUGCAUGGCCGUUUUUAGUCGGUGAAGUGAUUUGUCUGCUUAAUUGCGUUAACGGACGAGACCCCAGCCUGCUAAAUAGCGCGGCCGAGCUUUGCUCGGUACGAGCUUCUUAGAGGGACCAUGAUGCGCGAUAGCACAAGGAAGUUUGGGGCAACAACAGGUCUGUGAUGCCCUUAGAUGUUCUGGGCCGCACACGGGCUACACUGGCGCCCGCAACGAGCAUAUCAGCUGGCCCGAGAGGGUCUUGGCUAAUCUUUGGAACCGGCGCCGUGCUUGGGAUUGACCAUUGCAAUUGUUGGUCAUGCAACGAGGAAUGCCUUGUAAACGCGAGUCAUCAGCUCGCAUUGAAUACGUCCCUGCCCUUUGUACACACCGCCCGUCGCUCCUACCGAUGAAUGUUCCGAUGAAAUUUUCGGAGAGCGCCGGAGAACGGGGCUCUGCCCUGCAGAACUGGAGGCUCAAAGUUACUUAAAUCUGAACAUUUCGAGGAAGGAGAAGUCGUAACAAGGUAACC